CCUGUCCCAACUAGUCUUGAGUGUGGUAGCGUACACCUGCUCCCUUCUGGCUUUGGGGAAGGGGAUGAGACUGCGCUCCCGAACCGGAGGCAUACUGGGCCGCUGAGGCAUAGGAAUGGUCACAAGGUUUAAGCCCUGAAUUAAGUUUUCCCCCUUAGACGCCUCAAGCCCUCCAGCCCAAGAUGUAGCCCUCGAAUAGUCUAGCUGCGGGGUUCCGCGUUCAUGGUUUAAGGGAAAGUUAUCCAAACGGAAGUCCACCCCCGAAAACCAAUGAAGAAAGCCGAAUAGGAUUAUGAGAUGCGGGAGGGGGUGCCCCGCAGCUCUAAAAGCUCACCUCCUUACGACCCUGCCAAGAAUGUGGGUUGAGAAUUCAUCUAAGAACGCUGUGAAACAUGAGGCACACACAGGAGACCCCCUUUUCUAGCAGGCCAAUUCGGAUGACCCCCACCCCGCAUCAUUAUUGAGCACAGGUGUUGAACCCUUCACCUGUGUGUGUGUGCAGCGAAAGGGUCUUGACUUGAUGGGGCUGUCUGAGUGGUCCUCAACUGACAUGCAAUCCAUACUCUUUCAUUCAUAGAUACAGCUUUCCCUAUGGGAUUUUUGGAGGGGGAAAAUGACAUUAAAAAUUCUUCAGGGCAGGGGCAGUGAGAUGGCUCAGUGGAUGGAGAGAGCCAGACCUAGGGAGAGAGCGAAGAUCCUGGGUUCAAAUCUGGCCUCAGACUCUUUCUAGGGUGUGAUCUUGGGCAAGACACCACCCCAAGUGUGUAGGCUUUACCACUCUUUUGCCUUGGAACCAAUACACAGCAUCAAUUCUAAGACAGAAGGGGUUUCCCUGGACAGCAGAAGAAGGAAGGACAUAUUUGGAAAUGGAAUAAAAGCAAAAGGUCUCUACCCAUCCAUGCCUGUUUAUCAAGAGGGACUCAUCUAUGUCCUCUUGCAAUUCCACCCUAUUGGUUCCGUCCAAUGUGCUGUGAUGGGAAUAUGGGGGUGCUGGAAGGGAGGAAGGAGAGAAGGAAAGAGGAAAGGAGGAAAGCAGAGAGAUAUCUUGAAAAUUAGUUCUCUGAAAAUGGAAAACAGUAUGGCAGAAAUGAGACAGAGACUGUCACCUCAUGCCAUAUACCAAGGAAUGAAAUGAAAAACAAAUCAGCUUGGCAGAAAAAGGUGAGUCAGCUAGUAUAUGAGAGCAAGUUCCCUCUCUUCAAUGUGGCUGGAUUGGAGCACUCGGGAAUAUCCUGUUUUGAGAAAGUCAUUUUGUAUCCUAAGUCCAUCCCCUCUCUGGCAGGAGGUAGGUAGCAUCCUUAUUUUCAAUCUUUUGGAAUUAUGGUUGGUUAAUGGUGCAUCUUAAUAUGUGUCUGUAAUAUGAGUCUGGAACCUAGAAAAUCUAGAGGAAGGAAUAGCUAACAUCCAUUAGUGUCUCUCUUUAAAAACAAUAUUUUAAGUAAGCCUUGGUUAAAUGCUGGAUCAUCAACUCAUGAUUGAAUUCUUGGAUAAGCACCUGAAGUGGUUGUAUUCUUUGUUGUUGAUUAAAGGGUGAUUGUGCUUUUGCUGUAGCAAGCUUUUGGGAGGAGGAGAUGUCAUCCUAUGGGAAAAAUAUCAGAGCUUGACAUACUGUGACAGAGAGUGAAGAGUAGCAACCUUAUGCUAUGAUCAUUUUUUUCCCUCAGCAGAAGAGAUCUUGCUUAUUAUGGAUGUGGAUUAUAUCUCAGCUCAACUCACAGGUUUAAGAUUCUAGAAUGUGCUAGAAAAAUGAACCAAGUGCAGUGGAUUCAAAGGCCAAUGUGAAAUAGUCCCUGCUUACAAGCAGCUUAUGUUCUUUGACAUAUAACAUUGAUUUGAGGGGUGGGGAAGAAGCCCAAUGAGGUUCAUAGGAAAGUGCUGAUGAUGUGAUGCCAGUGAUUUAGAGACUUCCCUAGGAAGCUGCUAGCUACUUCUGAGAACAGCUGAGAUGAUACUGGCUGACUAGAUAGUUAUUUCUACCUAGGGCUGCCAUAGGAAGCAUAUUUGAGGAAAUUUGAAUGUGUUGCAUACUUAAUGGGCUCUUCUGAGUUCUUUGUAGCUUUUUCCUCAUCCUAUAUGAGUGAGGAAAUGAAGACUGUCCUUUA